rnacentral:rRNA from 1 species
AGAGUUUGAUCCUGGCUCAGGACGAACGCUGGCGGCGCGCCUAACACAUGCAAGUCGAACGGAGAUAUCGAGGAGCUUGCUUCUUGAUGUCUUAGUGGCGAACGGGUGAGUAACACGUGAGGAACCUGCCUUUCAGAGGGGGAUAACACUUAGAAAUAGGUGCUAAUACCGCAUAAGACCACGCUGCGGCAUCGCAGAGCGGUCAAAGGAGCAAUCCGCUGAAAGAUGGACUCGCGUCUGAUUAGAUAGUUGGUGAGGUAAUGGCUCACCAAGUCGACGAUCAGUAGCCGGACUGAGAGGUUGAUCGGCCACAUUGGGACUGAGACACGGCCCAGACUCCUACGGGAGGCAGCAGUGGGGAAUAUUGGACAAUGGGCGCAAGCCUGAUCCAGCAAUGCCGCGUGGGUGAAGACGGCCUGCGGGUUGUAAAGCCCUUUGGGCGGGGAGGAACGACGGCGCGCCAACACCGUGCCGUACUGACGUUACCCGCGAAACAAGCACCGGCUAACUCCGUGCCAGCAGCCGCGGUAAUACGGAGGGUGCGAGCGUUAAUCGGAAUUACUGGGCGUAAAGCGUGCGUAGGCGGAUGGGUCAGUCAGCCGUGAAAGCCCCGGGCUCAACCUGGGAACGGCGGUUGAGACGGCCCGUCUCGAGUGGGCUAGAGGAUCGUGGAAUUCCGGGUGUAGCGGUGAAAUGCGUAGAGAUCCGGAGGAACACCGAUGGCGAAGGCAGCGGUCUGGGGCCACACUGACGCUGAGGCACGAAAGCGUGGGGAGCAAACAGGAUUAGAUACCCUGGUAGUCCACGCGGUAAACGAUGAAUACUAGGUGUAGGGGGUAUCAACUCCCCCUGUGCCGGAGCUAACGCAAUAAGUAUUCCGCCUGGGGAGUACGGCCGCAAGGUUGAAACUCAAAGGAAUUGACGGGGGCCCGCACAAGCAGCGGAGCAUGUGGUUUAAUUCGAGGCUACACGAAGAACCUUACCUAGGGUAGACAUGGUGGUAGUAGUGAACCGAAAGGGGAACGACGCUUCGGCGAGCCAUCACAGGUGCUGCAUGGUUGUCGUCAGCUCGUGCCGUGAGGUGUUCGGUUAAGUCCGAAAACGAGCGCAACCCUCGGUGUGCGUUACAAGUGUCGCACACAACUGCCCGUGAGAAACGGGAGGAAGGUGAGGAUGAUGUCAAAUCAGCAUGGCCUUUAUCUCUAGGGCUACACACACGCUACAAUGGACGGUACAGUGCGUUGCGAAGGCGCGAGCCGGAGCCAAUCGAGAAAGCCGUUCGAAGUUCGGAUUGCAGGCUGCAACCCGCCUGCAUGAAGCUGGAGUUGCUAGUAACCGCGCGUCAGCCAUAGUGCGGUGAAUACGUUCCCGGGCCUUGUACACACCGCCCGUCACGUCAUGGGAGCUAGUCACGCCUGAAAUCGGGGAGCUAACCGCAAGGAGGCACACGCUGAAGGCAGGGCUGGUGACUGGGACGAAGUCGUAACAAGGUAACC